GAUGAACGCUGGCGGCGUGCCUAAUACAUGCAAGUCGAACGAGGUCUUCGGACCUAGUGGCGAACGGGUGAGUAACACGUUGGUACCUACCCCGAAGUGGGGAAUAACUGCCCGAAAGGGUGGCUAAUACCGCAUAAUACCGCAAGGUUAAAGCAGUAAUGCGCUUCGGGAGGGGCCUGCGUCCCAUUAGCUAGUUGGUAGGGUAAUGGCCCACCAAGGCGACGAUGGGUAGCUGGAUCGAGAGGUUGACCAGCCACACUGGGACUGAGAUACGGCCCAGACUCCUACGGGAGGCAGCAGUAAGGAAUCUUCCACAAUGGACGAAAGUCUGAUGGAGCAACGCCGCGUGCAGGAUGACGGCCUUCGGGUUGUAAACUGCUUUUAUACGGGAAGAUUAUGACGGUACCGUAUGAAUAAGGACCGGCUAACUACGUGCCAGCAGCCGCUGUAA
rnacentral:rRNA from 1 species